AUUGAACGCUGGCGGCAUGCCUUACACAUGCAAGUCGAACGGCAGCACGGGAGCAAUCCUGGUGGCGAGUGGCGAACGGGUGAGUAAUAUAUCGGAACGUGCCCAGUCGUGGGGAUAACGUAGCGAAAGCUACGCUAAUACCGCAUACUAUCUAUGGAUGAAAGCGGGGGAUCGCAAGACCUCGCGCGAUUGGAGCGGCCGAUAUCAGAUUAGGUAGUUGGUGAGGUAAAGGCUCACCAAGCCGACGAUCUGUAGCUGGUCUGAGAGGACGACCAGCCACACUGGGACUGAGACACGGCCCAGACUCCUACGGAGGCAGCAGUGGGGAAUUUUGGACAAUGGGCGCAAGCCUGAUCCAGCAAUGCCGCGUGCAGGAUG
rnacentral:rRNA from 1 species